CAUUGAAUGACAAGCUUCAGUCUGAGGACUACGAUGACACUGAAGGACCAGAAAAGGAUGAAAUUGAUUUCAUAUUUGAUGCUCGAACCCUCCCACAGAACAUGAUCUCAGACUAUGGAUACGAUGAUGCAGGAUCAUUGAAUGACAGGUUUCCAUCAGAUGACUAUGAUGACAAUGAAGAGCCAGAAAAAGAUGAAAUUCCUUUCAUGUCUGAUG